GGCUAAUUGGGAAACCUAUGCAAACACAAGCAUUCCAGGAUAACCUAUGCAAACUUCUGCAUGACUGAGACAAUUUGUGUGUCUACCCAUUUACCAAGAGUUUUCUUCUGCAUUUGAAUCUAACUAGAAUUUACAUCUUAAGUUCAGUAGCAUGUUUUAUGACUCUGGACAUCAUAGAUCUCUCUGGCAUGGUCAGGUAUUUGUUUGAUUUUAUUUUAAAGUACUUUCUUGGCUAGGGGUACAGUAGUUCAACAGUAACAUGCCUGGCAAGCAUGCAUGAUGUCCUGUGUUUGGUCUCUUCAUGAAUGUUUGUAUGCAUACACGUGUACUUGUGCGCGCGCGCACGCACGCACACACACACACACACACACACACACACACACACACACACCCCUAAAAUGGAGUGAGUUUCAGGACAGCCAGGGCUACACAGAGUAACCCUGUCCUAAAAAACAAACAAAACAGAAAAAGGGAAAAAAGAUAAUUCUAAAUGGAGUGAGCGAAGGUUCUGUGUUGCUGUCUAACAUUUUAAAAUUCUUUUCUGUCAUGAGUAUGAAAUUUAGGUAGAUAAGCAUGGUUGCCUGUUUGUCUAUUGGGGUUUCAUUCCAAGACUUCUGGGACAUAACUGAAGCCCGCAAGUGGUUCUCAGCUGUCUGGAUGUUGUUUAUUUCCUACAUGUAUAAACUUAUGAUACAGGUUACUUUAUCAGGCAGGCGUAGCAAGAGCUUAGCAGUAAGAACAGAACAUUUAGAACCAUACACUGUGGCUAAAGUUACCUAGCAUUUAUGAAUUGUACAUUUCUGGGAUUUUCCAUGUAGGCUUUUUUUGGAUCAAGGCUGACCAUGGGUAAUUGAAGCCACGAAAACGAAACCACAGAUAAGGAAAGAAAGGACCACUUUGUCUUUAAGAGAGACUUCUACAGGAGAGUGGCUCGAUGUUCAGCGCUUUGAAGUGGUUACCUUCUGUCCUUCUCCUGUCAUGUAUUUAGCUUUCCCUACAUUGAAAACAAUACACUUUUUCUGUCCAUCAACACCAUUGACGAUCAUCAAUACAUCAUGUUUUCAUUUCUUGAGCUUUUCUUUUUGAGACUGCCUUACGACAUAGUCCAGCCUAGCCUUCACCUUGCAAUAUUCCUGCACCAGCUUCCCUGAUGCUCAAUUACAGGUCAAAAUUUGUUGUUGGAUGUCUUCCUAAACUGCUUCUAUUUUUUUAAGAUAGGGUUUCUCACUGGACCUGGCACUCAGUGUUUCCAGCUAGACUGGCUGCCCAGUGAGUCCCCGUGGCCUGUUUUUGUCCCCUAGCUCUGGGGUUUUAGGUGUGUACCACCAUGUCUGGAUUUAUUUUUGCAUGAGUCUGUCCCCACAGUGACACUCACUUCCUCUAACAAUGCCUCACCUCCUCAUAAUGUGCCCCAUGGCCAAGCAUUCAAGCACAGUAGUCUAUGGGGCCAUAGCCUAAUCAAUCUACCACACCUCUGUAGCUUAGAUCUCAGGCCUUUUUGCCUGAGAAGUGCUUGCUUCUGAACUGGGAAGACUGCUUCUCUGUCUUCCAGACUUAGAGGCGAGCCUUUGAUACUUGAUCCUUUGUCUUUGUUGCUGGAGUUUAUUUAGCUCACCAGUUAAAAAAAGGAGCACAAAACCAUGCUUAGCCUUACUCCAGUCUGGGCAGCUCUACCAGGUCUUUCCUCAAUGUGUAAUUAUCCUUUCUUCCUCCCUCCCUCCCUAAAACCAAGGUAUCACUAUUUAGCUUUGACUAGCCUCAAACUCGCCCAAGCCGUCCCCAAAUUCAUGGCAGUCCACUUGCUUCAACCUCCUGAGUGCUGGGAGUAUAGGUAUGGACCACCACAUCCAUCUAGACCAUCAGUGUUGAUGUUGAAGACUGGUUUGUGAAUAAUGGAGAACUUCACAGAAUGUACUCAGAAUAGCUCUUUGAGCCACAUAUUGGCUCACACUGUUCAUUCUUUUUCUUGAGUUUUAAAGCAUUAUAAUGACAGACCUUUGAGUCCACCAGGUGCAAUUCAGAUUUCAUGAUUUAUAUCAGGAUUUAAGCUGGGAAUGGGUCUUUUCCUAAAUUAAAUGGAAUGGCGUGAGCAUCUGUCUAUGCUCAUGGAGAAAGGGUGGAAUGAGUAAUGACUAAGGAUCUACUGUAUCCAGUAUAAAAUUGUGAGCUGUGGGACCUUGGAGACCCAGGACACGGUGAAGUUGGGGCAUCAUAAAGACAUUAAUAGGGAGGAUUGGACUUACAUGAAGCCAUUGAGAUGGAUGGGGCAGAUACCCUUGUUUUAUUGGUGAAGGGCAGUCUCCUUUGGUCCUGGGUGUGUUCUCCCGUAUGGUAUUUUACAGAGACUUAACCACCAUCAACUAUAACUUGGGUUCUUGUCCUUAAACUUCAUGGCUAUUUAGAGUUUUUUUUCUGGGAGUUUUUCUUUCUUCUUCUUUUUUUUUUUUUUUUCUUCUUCUUCAGUUCUAUGGUCUUUGGGACCUGUGCCCAACUUGAACAGGUCAACACAUCUUCAGUAAACAGGGUCUUAAUUCUCACACUUAAGCGUGGGUCUUUCAAGUAGUCCUGGAACUCGCUCUGUAGAACAGGAUGGCCUCCAGCUCAGAUCUGCCUGCCUGUACUUCCUGAGUGUUGGGAUUAGAGGCAUGCUCGAUCACUGAUGGGGUAGUUUUUUGUUUGUUUGUUUGUUUGUUUGUUUACAAAGAUCUCAGUGUAUAAUUUGAGGUUUACAGUUUACAUAAUUGAUAGGCUUUAUAAAAUUGGAAAACAAAUUUGGUACAGAUUUUGAUUUUUUAAAAAAAAUCUACUGUAUCAGAUUGUUGAGGUGAUAUUUUAUGGAGGUAAAUAUUACUUAUGAGAGAACUGAGCCAUGCUGAGGUGCACUGUAAUAGUAACUUCUCUGAGUCAAAAAAUAGAAACAAAACCAGAAGAAUCGUACAUUUUGAUGAUUGUUAAGUGUAGCUGGUGACUAGUGCCGAUGUGUGACCCAUUACGCCAGUCCAGGGUUAUGCACACUGUCUUCUUGGUGCCAAUAUGCCCCCUAUCUUUUUGGUAAGUUGUUUUAGUAGGGACACUCAGACACAUUCCCUUGGAUAUUAUCUUAUUAUCUACAGCUAUUUUUUAUUCUACAAGAGCUGGGUUGAGUGAACAAAUUCCAGAUUGUGUAUUUUACAAAACCUAAAAGUACUCCCACUUUGUCUUUAUAGAACUUGUUUGCCAACCUUUGAACUAGUUAACAUGGGGAGACUUCUCAAACAAACCUGGGGAAGAUUUAAUACCAGGAAAGGAGUAGGGAGGUUGUUCUGCAUGUAGGGACUCAUUUCAAUAAACUGCUGGCCUCUAUGAUGAAAAUACAUAGAAAUUCCUUUUUUUUUUUUUUAGGCUAUCUUAGAAACUCUUUGCUUCUUUGCUUGACUGUCUGAACACCUUCUUUGUUCACAAACAAGGAAGUUAGACUUCUCCUCUGUCAUUUAGUCAACCACCAAGGAAUUACUGAUCCAAUAGUUUUUUUUUCCUAUUAGGCAAGUAUUAAUUUAUAAAGUCUUCAUCUAGUAAAAAAU
rnacentral:lncRNA from 1 species